CGACCGGUCUGGCUUAGUGGGUAGUGACCCUGCCUGUGAAGCCGAUGUUCCUGGGUUCGAAUCCCGGUAAGGGCAUUUAUUUGUGUGAUGAGCACAGAUAUUUGUUCCUGAGUCAUGGAUGUUUUCUAUUUGUCUGAGUACCCACAACACAAGCCUUCUUGAGCUUACCGUGGGACUUAGUCAAUUUGUGUAAGAAUGUUCUCUAUAAUAUUUAUU